GAAAGAUAGAACAAUGGAGCAGGAUGCGCACUGUGGAGAGAGGCGGAACUGGACACACGAUGGUGAUGACAGGCGGCUGAGCUGCUACACAUGCCUGCUCACAGAACCUGGGACCACUGUCACUUGGAUCAUGACCAACUACCAAGAUGGGAAGAAGGUUAGAACCAGCUGGCUGGAAGCCAAGUUGGAAGUUGACUUUAAGAUGGCGACAGGCUGUUGGAAAUAAACAAAUCAGCUCAUUUGGAUAGAGGAGUCUUGUGAUCCAACAUGACAGG
rnacentral:lncRNA from 1 species